rnacentral:rRNA from 1 species
UACGUAGGGUGCAAACGUUGUUCGGAAUUACUGGGCGUAAAGCGCGUGUAGGCGGCUCGGAAAGUCGGAUGUGAAAGCCCUGGGCUUAACCUAGGAAGUGCAUUCGAAACUCCCGAGCUUGAGUUCUGGAGAGGAAGGCGGAAUUCUCGGUGUAGAGGUGAAAUUCGUAGAUAUCGAGAGGAACACCGGUGGCGAAGGCGGCCUUCUGGACAGUGACUGACGCUGAGACGCGAAAGCGUGGGGAGCAAACAGG